rnacentral:rRNA from 1 species
CAGCAGCCGCGGUAAUACGUAGGGCGCAAGCGUUAUCCGGAAUUAUUGGGCGUAAAGAGCUCGUAGGCGGUUUGUCGCGUCUGCCGUGAAAGUCCGGGGCUCAACCCCGGAUCUGCGGUGGGUACGGGCAGACUAGAGUGAUGUAGGGGAGACUGGAAUUCCUGGUGUAGCGGUGAAAUGCGCAGAUAUCAGGAGGAACACCGAUGGCGAAGGCAGGUCUCUGGGCAUUAACUGACGCUGAGGAGCGAAAGCAUGGGGAGCGAACAGGAUUAGAUACCCCGUGUAGUCCCUGUCUCUUAUA